rnacentral:rRNA from 1 species
UACGUAGGGUGCAAGCGUUGUCCGGAAUUAUUGGGCGUAAAGAGCUUGUAGGCGGUUUGUCGCGUCUGCUGUGAAAUUUUGGGGCUCAACCCCGAACUUGCAGUGGGUACGGGCAGACUAGAGUGUGGUAGGGGAGACUGGAAUUCCUGGUGUAGCGGUGAAAUGCGCAGAUAUCAGGAGGAACACCGAUGGCGAAGGCAGGUCUCUGGGCCACUACUGACGCUGAGAAGCGAAAGCAUGGGGAGCGAACCGG